rnacentral:rRNA from 1 species
CACGUAGGGCGCGAGCGUUGUCCGGAAUUAUUGGGCGUAAAGAGCUCGUAGGCGGCCUGUUGCGUCCGCUGUGAAAGCCCGGGGCUUAACCCCGGGUCGGCAGUGGAUACGGGCAGGCUAGAGGUAGGUAGGGGAGAAUGGAAUUCCCGGUGUAGCGGUGAAAUGCGCAGAUAUCGGGAGGAACACCGGUGGCGAAGGCGGGUCUCUGGGCAGUAACUGACGCUGAGGAGCGAAAGCGUGGGGAGCGAACAGG